rnacentral:sRNA from 1 species
UGGUCGGGGAGCUGGGCGGAGUUGAAGUGGACGUGGAUGUCCAGGCCGCCGGGCGUGGCGAUCUUCCCCUCGGCGGGGUACACGUCGGUCGAGGGGCCGACGACCAUGUCGACGCCGUCCAUCGUGUCCGGGUUGCCGGCCUUGCCGAUCCCGGCGAUCUCGCCGUUCCUGAUACCGAUGUCGGCGGCGACGAUCCCGAGGACGGGGUCCAUCACCAGUGCGUUCGUCAGCACCCAGUCGAGCGCGCCCUCCGCCUGGGUCGUGCCCGGCGACUGGCCGAGCCCGUCCCGUAG